rnacentral:rRNA from 1 species
UCGGGAAUUUUGCUCAAUGGGCGAAAGCCUGAAGCAGCAACGCCGCGUGAGGGAUGAAGGCCUUCGGGUUGUAAACCUCUUUUCUCAGGGACGAUGAUGACGGUACCUGAGGAAGAAGCCACGGCUAACUACGUGCCAGCAGCCGCGGUAAUACGUAGGUGGCGAGCGUUGUCCGGAUUUACUGGGCGUAAAGAGCGCGCAGGCGGUCGUGCAAGUCGCGUGUGAAAGCCCCCGGCUCAACUGGGGAGAGUCACGCGAUACUGCUCGACUCGAAGGCGGGAGAGGGAAGCGGAAUUCCCGGUGUAGUGGUGAAAUGCGUAGAUAUCGGGAGGAACACCAGUGGCGAAGGCGGCUUCCUGGCCCGUUCUUGACGCUGAGGCGCGAAAGCUAGGGGAGCAAACGGG